UACGAAGGGGGCUAGCGUUGCUCGGAAUCACUGGGCGUAAAGCGCACGUAGGCGGACUCUUAAGUCGGUGGUGAAAUCCUGGAGCUCAACUCCAGAACUGCCUUCGAUACUGAGAGUCUUGAGUCCGGGAGAGGUGAGUGGAACUGCGAGUGUAGAGGUGAAAUUCGUAGAUAUUCGCAAGAACACCAGUCGGGCGAAGGCGGCUCA
rnacentral:rRNA from 1 species